rnacentral:rRNA from 1 species
CGACCUCAGUUCAGGUGAGAUUACCGGCUGAAUUUAAGCAUAUUACUAAGCCGAGGAAAAGAAACUAACAAGGAUUCCCCUAGUAGCAGCGAGCGAACAGGGAAAGAGCCCAGCGCUGAAUCCCCCGGGCCUCGCUCGGCGGGAAAUGUAGCGUUUGGGAGGACCCCGUCAAACACGGCGACUCGCUCACUGGUUUCAAGUCCAACUUGAAUGGGGCCACACAGAGGGCGACAGGCCCGUAGAGCAGGAGCGGUUGUCGUGUGGGUCUCUCCUUAGAGUCGGUUUGCUUGAGAGUGCAGACUUAAGUGGGUGGUAAACUCCAUCUAAGGCUAAAUAUGACCACGAGACCGAUAGCACACAAGUACCGUGAGGGAAAGGUGAAAAGAACUUUGAAGAGAGAGUUCAAGAGUACGUGAAACUGAAGUGGUGUAAACGGACGAGUUCGAAAAGUCCGAAUGGUGAGAUUCAAGCUUACCGUGCCGGUGGCCCUCGGGUUCAGAUGGCGUCGUCAGCUCGGGCUUCGGUCCGGGUCAUACGGCGUCACUCGUCCUGGGGGUAUCUGUCUGGUGCGGUGGGCUGCACUUCUCGCCUAGUAGGACGUCGCGACCCGUUGGGAUGUUCCGUUCACUGGCCCCUGGUGGAGCCCGCGCCGGAGCGUGGUCUUGUGCCGCGUUGCUGUUUGCACGGACCCGGGGUGACCUGAUCGGCGCCCGACGGUAUCAAAGCUUGGGAAGAGGCCGC